UACGGGGGGAGCAAGCGUUGUUCGGAUUUACUGGGCGUAAAGGGCGCGUAGGCGGUCAGCACAAGUCAGUUGUGAAAUCUCCGGGCUUAACUCGGAAAGGUCAACUGAUACUGUGCGACUAGAGUGCGGAAGGGGCAACUGGAAUUCUCGGUGUAGCGGUGAAAUGCGUAGAUAUCGAGAGGAACACCUGCGGCGAAGGCGGGUUGCUGGGCCGACACUGACGCUGAUGCGCGAAAGCCAGGGGAGCAACAGGG
rnacentral:rRNA from 1 species